AGCAGUAGCCGCGGGAAUACAGAGGGUGCGAGCGUUAAUCGGAUUUACUGGGCGUAAAGCGUGCGUAGGCGGCUUCUUAAGUCGGAUGUGAAAUCCCUGAGCUUAACUUAGUAAUUGCAUUCGAUACUGGGAAGCUAGAGUAUGGGAGAGGAUGGUAGAAUUCCAGGUGUAGCGGUGAAAUGCGUAGAGAUCUGGAGGAAUACCGAUGGCGAAGGCAGCCAUCUGGCCUAAUACUGACGCUGAGGUACGAAAGCAUGGGGAGCAAACAGGAUUAGAUACCCCUGUAGUCCCUGUCUCUUAUAC
rnacentral:rRNA from 1 species